GCCGACAAAGCCAAAGCGGAGAUUUCUUUGCAAGCGCGUUUCAAUGAGAAGAAUAAGAGGUCGAAAGGAAAAUUUGCGGCGAGAGGUAAAUCAAAUUUUCAGAAUUUUGGUUCAAAUGAUUCGCAAAAUUCAAAGCAUUCGACGAGUGAAAAGGGUGAAAGUAGCUCCAAGGAUAGUGGUCAUAGCAAUGGUUUCAAGAAGCGUG
rnacentral:lncRNA from 1 species